AUUGAACGCUGGCGGUAUGCUUAACACAUGCAAGUCGAACGAUGAGAAAGAGCUUGCUCUUUCGAUUAGUGGCGGACGGGUGCGUAACGCGUAGGAAUCUACCUAUUAGUGGGGGACAACUUAGGGAAACUUAAGCUAAUACCGCAUACGCCCUACGGGGGAAAGAAGGGGAUCGCAAGACCUUUUGCUAAUAGAUGAGCCUGCGUAGGAUUAGCUAGUUGGUGGGGUAAAAGCUCACCAAGGCGACGAUCCUUAACUGGUUUGAGAGAAUGAUCAGUCAAACUGGAACUGGGACACGGUCCAGACUCCUACGGGAGGCAGCAGUGGGGAAUAUUGGACAAUGGGCGAAAGCCUGAUCCAGCAAUACCGCGUGUGUGAAGAAGGCCUUAGGGUUGUAAAGCACUUUCAAUUGGAAGGAAAACCUCGAAGCUAAUACCUUCGAGUUUGACAUUACCUUUAGAAGAAGCACCGGCUAACUCCGUGCCAGCCGCCGCCGUAAAAC
rnacentral:rRNA from 1 species